rnacentral:tRNA from 1 species
GGGCCCGUAGCUCAGUGGCAGAGCGUCCGGCUCAUAACCGGCUGGUCGUAGGUUCGAACCCUGCCGGGCCCA